UAGUUUUCUAUUAGGGCCAAACCGUACACCACAUUACUUCCGAUGGUCGCGAGUUCGAUUCCUUGCGGUGUAAACAUUUGUAUUUAUGAAUAUGAUCGUGUGUAUUCGAAAUGUUUUCUAUGUCUAUUAUAUAUAUAUAAUAGACAUAUAAUUCACGAACAUUUACAGAAACAAUAUAUUUAUCUAUUCAUAUAAGUCAUUUAGUAUACAUAACACAACCCCUGCUUAGCUUGGGACUAGAUGGCGCGGUGUGCAUGUCCAGGUAUUAUUCUUAUUAUAUUGUUAUUUAUGACUACUAUACGUAAUAUAAAAUCUCAAUUUCAGGCCCCAUACGGUACAUACCUUCUAGAAAGGGAUAUUUAUUACUAUUAAACGGAUACACAUAUUGGCAAGACGCAAGAAACAAAACUGCCAUUCAUUGGUAUUGCUCAAAGAGACACCAGAGGUGCAAGGCGCUAUUGAAAAUGGAUCACGUUAAUAACACCAUAUUGUAUGCGAUAACAAAUCAUAAUCAUGAAAAAUCAAAAUAUUCGUAUUAUCAUAAUUAAUACAUUAAGUAUAUUCGUAUAAUUAGUAAAAAUUACGGGAGCUUAUCACGUUUUUUUUAUUGAGUUACCAAUAUUUCAGCAGUGUUUCAACCGCCAUGAUUACGGGUAAACAGAAGAGAAGCGGGUUGAUGCGCCCAUAGUGUACAUUCCUGGUACUAAAGUGAGACCAACAUUCGUCAACUUUCGCAACGGAAAUCUUCUUCUAUUCAAUGGGUUUACAUACAGCAAAUCGAACAGAUUAAACUGGUAUUGUUCGAGAAGAGUCACAUGUGGAUGCAAGGCGAAAGUCAAGCUGACCACUGACGAAAAAUAUAUUGAUAGAUUGGUGCAUUGCCAUGUUCAUGGUCGCGAGAAAUAUGUGUUAUCUUCUGAUGGAAGUCUCACUAAAGUGUAAGCAAG